rnacentral:lncRNA from 1 species
AUCAGUACCAAUUAGUAUUGAUUACACAAUUAUGUACUACGCAACCAUUUGAUUCAUAUAUUUUAAGGCCUUAUAUACAUACAGAAUGGAGGGGGAUUUAAUCCAUAUCAAAAUGCAUCAUGGGGGUUCAUUUUCAAUUGAAGGACCACUUACUUAUCAUGGUGGUGAAUUGUCUAUUUUUCGAGACUGUGACAGUCAGCGUACAUCGUAUUUUCGUCUAGUUCGCAUGGCUAAAGACGUAGGUUUCAAGGAUGGUGAUGAGUUAUAUUAUACAAUCCCUGGAUGUAGCCUUGAUGAAGGAAUUGAUUUAAUUCAUGAUGACAAUUCUGUUGUUAAGAUGUUGAACUUUGCAAAGAAACACAACUUUGCCGAGAUCUAUGUUAAACAUAAAGGCAAUGAAAAUACUUCCGCUGAUCCAAGAUCUGGUCUGGGCAAUAAGGAUAAACUUCCAGCAGAGGUACUUUACUAAAAAAACAAGUUAUUUUAUCCAUGCUUUAUUUUCCUUGGUUGCUCAUGUGUGACUUCUUGGUUGCUUUGUUGCUUGGCUGUGUUUGAUUUCUUUUACAUUUGUGUGGUAUUUAUUGUAUUCUACCAUAUUUCUUAUAGCUGAUUGUGUGGUACUCUUACCUAAUUUUGUUCACAGACAUGGCAUGUCCACCAACAAAUCGGGAAAGCAUAAUCUUGUGGCACACAUUGAGACAACGCAGAGUGAAAAUACUUAUAGUUUUAUAUGUUCUAGUGCAAAUCUUCAUGAUGUUACUUAGGAGGGCUCGAUAUAGGAUGUGUCGAAUUAGGAAGCCUUCUCCGUAUGACCCGAUAACUCGAUCACAAACCCUGAACAACAAGAUACAAGUAAGCGCUAUAGAAUGCAUUUUACAACUACGGAUGGAUAGGCGUUGUUUCAGAGUGUUAUGUUCGUUGGUAAGAAAAAUAGGUGGGUUAAAGGAUACUAGGCACAUGAGCGUGGAAGAAACGGUUGCCAUGUUCCUUCACAUAGUUGCACAUGAUGAAAAAAAUCGAGCAAUCCCAUCAUGAUUUCCAGCGUUCACUUGAAUCAGUAAGUUGCAAAUUCCAUGAAGUACUAGGCGCGGUUUUGAAACUCUAGAAAGUGUUGCUUAAGAAGCCUCGACCAAUUCCAGCCAAUUGCAUGGAUGGAAGAUGGAAGUACUUUAAGGUAUCAAACUAAUAGUUUCACAUAAAAACACUUGUAGGUCUAGUUUUGUUCAUGGUCUAACACAUUGUUUUUCUAAUAUAGAACUGUUUAGGUGCCUUAGAUGGGACGUAUAUAGAAGUUCAUGUGCCCAAAACUGACAAACCAAGAUUUCGUUCAAGAAAGAAUGAAGUUGCAACAAAUGUUCUUGGUGUAUGUGCGCCAGACAUGCAAUUCAUUUAUGUAUAUCUGGGUUGGGAAGGAUCUGCGGCUGAUGGGAGGGUCCUUCGAGAUGUUUUAUCAAAAUCAAAUGGCCUUCAGGUUCCUCGGGGUAAGAGAUAAUACAAAAAUGGUCCAUGUUUGUUAGACAUAUAUGUUGUAUACAUAGCUGACAAACCCAUAUGUACGUUUCAAUUGCAUAGGGUGCUAUUAUCUAGUUGAUGCUGGGUACAAGAACUGUGAAGGGUUUCUUGCUCCAUACAGAGGGCAACGGUACCAUCUAAAUGAUUGGAAAAAAAACCCCAACAAAAAAGAGGAAUUGUAUAACAUGCCGCAUUCGUCAGCUAGAAAUGUGAUUUAGAGGACUUUCGGAUUGCUCAAGAUGCGACGGGCUAUCAUUAGGAACCCCUCUUAUUAUCCUUUUGAUACACAAGUUGAUAUUAUUCUAGUAUGCUGCUAUAUUCACAACCUGAUACGACAACAAAUACGUGUUGAUCCCUGUGAGCAAUAUCUAGAUGAGUACAUGCUACACCUUCAGCAGCAGCAAGAAUAUGAGGAUCUCAUUCAGUCCACCGAAACAUCUUCACAGUGGACUGAGAAAAGAGACAAGUUAGUUGAUGAAAUGUGGAAAGCGUGGAUAGCAAAAAGACAAGAUCGUUGAUACAUGUAGUACAUCUUUAGUUGUAGGACAUUAAGUGCUUGUUCAUCAACAUAUGUGUGUCCAAUCAUUUUUCUUUGCUAUUUGUUUUCUCCCAUAUGUCACAGUGGCUUAUGUUUUAGUUCAUCCACUAUUCUGUAAUGAUAGGAGAGAAUGAUUAAUGAAUGAACAUCAUAUUUCCUAUAUGAGCAUCUAUAUUCUUUACUUUAUGUACACACAUAUUUUAUUGUCAUAUUGAAACUAUCAGAAUACCAAGUCAAAGGAGAGCAAGUUUGCAUCGAAAAAGAGAGACAAGAGAACAUGGACAGCGGAGGAGGAGAAGUUACUUAUUGAAAUUCUAUAUAACAUGAAUGAUUCUUCUUGGAAAGUAGAUACCGGUCACAAGUCCGGAUAUCUGACCUACAUUGAGAAGGAAAUGGCGAAAGUACUACCACAUGCUGAUCUUAAAGCGGAUCCGCAUAUCAAGUCUAAGGUUAAGAUUUUCAAGAAGCAACUUUCUUAUGUUCUAGAAAUUAUGCAAAAUUCUAGUGGGUUUGGAUGGGAUGAUGAGAAGAAAAUGGUAACUGGAUAUAGGGAGACGUAUAUGGGCUGGGCAAAGGUACAGUAUAUUCAUUCAGUAUGUAAAUAAAUCAGCUUUGUUUCAUGUGAUUUUCGAUUGUACUCAAGUUUCUAAUGGAAAUUCAUGUUUUUUCAAGUCCCGUGAGGGAGCAGGUUCUCUCUACAUGAAGCCUAUGGUUAACUUUGACAAGUUAUGUGAGGUAUAUGCUACUGAUUUGGCUAAAGGAGGUAGUGUUAAAGGUCCUGGAGAAGAAGAAACUCCAGAAGUUGGAUCAACGGCAGAGACACAACCUACUAGCGAACAUGCCAAGGAGAAUCUUCCUGAAUCUCAUGAGAACACGAACCCACUUGGUAGUUCUAGGCCUGGUCGGAAGAGAACAUAUAUUGAUGAUGAUGCACUUGAGUCAGGUCUUAUAAGUGUGUCCAAUACAAUUGCAAAGUUCCUGGAAGCAAAGCAGGAGAAUGCUAAAACCAUGAAUGGUUUACAGAGGGCAUUUAUGCAUGAAGCACAAGUUCAUGAGCAAACAUCAGCCAACAGAACCAAGUUACUUGAGAUUCUCCAAAAUCUUAAAGGUCUCACUACUGAAGAGGUUGUCAUGGUUGUUCGUGUCAUUGGUGGUGAUGCUGGAAAGACCGAACUUUUCAUCCAAUUACGUGAUGAUUACAAAGUGGUGUUUGUUCGUCAGGAGCUUGAGGCGGCCAAAAAAUAAGUGAAAAUCUAGAUUUACAUUCUGCAUUGGUAGUUUAAUAUUUUUAGGUCGGGAUUACUUGUUUACUUGAAAACUCAUCAGUAACAAUAUUUGAUUUUUGCCACUUUAUUUGUACAUCGUCUUCUCCUAUACAAACUGUUGUUUGUUAUAUAAAUACCACAUUAC